rnacentral:ncRNA from 1 species
AAUAAAUCGUUGAAUAAGAGGAGUACAUUUGGUAUAGGCGGUAAAGAGAGUCGGUGAUGGUGAGAUUCCGAUACGCACUGCGUGAUGGUGAGAUUCCGAUACGCACUGCCAAAUGGAAUGGGCUUAUGAGAGAUUUCCUGAACAAGGAGUAGGGAAAUUCGGCUUCCACCGUUAAUAGGAUAAGGUAUCAGAAUGAGAAAGGUUCAGACGACGUUCGGCGUUGUAUACAGUGCAGGUAAAGCAACGGAAAGUUAAUUCAGCUUUAUGGCGUUGCGCAACCGCAAGACACUUUCGUCUUUUAUGGUACCUGAUUGAGAUGAGGAAUCUUUCCUCAAUAGAGGUGGCACCGCGACUUUUCGCCCUCUGU